CCAGUGGACUGCGAAGAUCCGAGCCGUGCCUUUGUUGUAUGGAUGAAGAGGUCCUCGAUCGCAAAGGUUGUUCUGCGAGAGAAGCAAGAUCUCCUCAACUUGCCUGAUGACUUCAGGAAGGCAGAAGACUUUAUCAACUUGAUGUGUGUUCUUUACACUCCCACACUUUGUGUAUCAACUGAAAAGAACCCCACAUGUGGUCAGAUCCUGCCAAUUCUCCAAAAGCUUGAGAUGCAUUUUGCUGAUGUUGAGGGAGACACAGGAUUUGUAUCUAACCUCAAAAAGCAAGUUUGGGCAAACCUUUCCAAGCGAUACCAGAGCAAGGACAUCAGGAACUUUCGUGAAAUGGCAACAGCAUUGGACCCAUGCUUCAAACAAAAGAUGGACAACAGUGCCAGUGUCUGGAACCAGAUCAAGAGAGAGAUGAUGACAGAAUCUGAUCAACAGAGGAUGAUUGUGGAGAGGAUUGCGAUGUGACAACAGUGUGGUCAGAGAAAGGGCCCGAGAAUGAUGGAGUGGAAACUGAGGAAACCACCUCCCAGCAAACAACCAAGAAAGUCUCCAAUGGAGGAACUUUUUGCCGAUGUGGAUGCACAAAAGAUGUCAUUACAGUAGAGGAGGACCAUGUCCAUCCAGGACCAGGGAGAGAAGGAGAUGCCGAUGUUUAAGGAGACACCACCAACCUUUACGGCCCAUGACCUUGCUGCCUAGUGGUGGAACCAGCACAAGACUUCAGUUCAAAUUAGCUUUAUUUGCAUGAAUGUAACAACAAUAUUGCCAAAGCAUCAUACAAACUACAAGACUUACUGUUUAUUGUCAGACAUGGCCUUCUUGUAUUCAUGAACGUUCAGCACACAAUCUGUGCUGAACGUUCGCGCGUACUGCCAGAGAAGGCAGAUAUGCUCAUAUUUCUAAACAAGCACUGUUUCUAAUGUAGUGGGUUUUAAACAUGUUAGUCCAGACCAGGGUGUUGUGUUAUUUGUUUUGGUUGCAGUUAUGAAAGUGCAACAUCAUACAGAGACGUUCUACUUUUCUCAUCAACACCCAUAUGGGCUGUAGCUCCAAAAACUGUAAAUCACCAUUGAAUCAAAAUAAAAAAAAUUUCUGUGAAA